UUAAUUGAAGCCAAAAUCUUAAAGAGGCAUUUUAUUGUUAAUAAAAAUAAUGAACCAAGUUCCAAUUAAA
rnacentral:tRNA from 1 species